rnacentral:rRNA from 1 species
GACGAACGCUGGCGGCGUGCUUAACACAUGCAAGUCGAACGGAAAGGCCCUGCUCUUGUUGGGUGCUCGAGUGGCGAACGGGUGUGUAACACGGGAGUAACCUCCCCUUGACUGUGUGAUAACUUCAGGAAACUGGGGCUAAUACCGGAGAGGAGCUCCUGCAGCAUGGGGGGGGUUAGAAAGUUUCGGCGGUUGGGGAUGGACUCGCGGCUUACCAGCUUGUUGGUGGGGUAGUGGCUUACCAAGGCUUUGACGGGUAGCCGGCCUGAGAGGGUGACCGGCGACAAGAGGCCUGAGGGACGGCGCAGACGCCUACGGGAGGCAACAGGGGGAAGUAUUGCACAAUGAGCGGAAGCCUGAUGCAGCAGCGCCGCGUGCGUAAAGCCGGCUUUCGGGUUAUAAACCGCUUUCGCCUGUGACGAAGCGUGAGUGACGGUAAUGGGUAAAGAAGCACCGGCUAACUACGUG